rnacentral:rRNA from 1 species
CCUACGGGGGGCUGCAGUGGGGAAUAUUGGACAAUGGGGGGAACCCUGAUCCAGCCAUGCCGCGUGUGUGAAGAAGGCCCUCGGGUUGUAAAGCACUUUCAGUGAGGAAGAACGCCUGGUGGUUAAUACCCAUCAGGAAAGACAUCACUCACAGAAGAAGCACCGGCUAACUCCGUGCCAGCAGCCGAGGUAAUACGGAGGGUGCGAGCGUUAAUCGGAAUUACUGGGCGUAAAGCGCGCGUAGGUGGCUUGAUAAGCCGGUUGUGAAAGCCCCGGGCUCAACCUGGGAACGGCAUCCGGAACUGUCAAGCUAGAGUGCAGGAGAGGAAGGUAGAAUUCCCGGUGUAGCGGUGAAAUGCGUAGAGAUCGGGAGGAAUACCAGUGGCGAAGGCGGCCUUCUGGACUGACACUGACACUGAGGUGCGAAAGCGUGGGUAGCAAACAGGAUUAGAUACCCUGGUAGUC